UGGCUAUAUCAUGUGUUUUUACCUGCAUUGGUAAUGUUCAUACUUCCAAUGCACUGAAAACCUCUUUCAGAAUUCACAUUCAGGAGAACUCAAAAUCAUCUAGUAAAUAUUUCUCUGAAACGUAGUUGUAGUCUGUAACGAAGCUAUGAAAGUCUAUAAUAAAGUAUUUCUGGCCAGGGGCCUUAUUUAUCAACCGUGCGUACAUUUCUUACUAAAUUCUUGGGUAUGUGGAGAUUCAAGGAUUUGUGUGUGCCAGAAAUGAUUGGGAAUAAUCAAACUGUCACAUGCAACAGAUACGCAUGUUUUCAUUGAUAAAUCAGAGCCAUAUUAAUUAAACUGAACAAAAAUAUAAAUGCAACAUGUAAAGUGCUGGUCCCAUGUUUCAUGAGAUGAAAUAAAAGAUCCCAGAAAUGUUCCAUAUGCAUAAAAAGCUUAUUUCUCUAAAAUGUGCACAUCCCUGUUAGUGAGCAUUUCUCCUUUGCCAAGAUAAUCCAACAGAUUUACACAGGUAGACCUUGUAAUGGGCACAAUAAAAGGCCACUCUAAAGUCUGCAGUUUUGUCACACAACGCCACAGUUUUGAGGGAAAGUACAAUUGGCAUGCUGACAGCAGGAAUGUCCAACAGAGCCGUUGCCAGAUAAUUUUAUGUUAAUAUCUCUGCCAUUAAUGUCCCCAACGCCGUUUUAGAGAAUUUGGCAGUACGCCUCAACAGCCGACCACGUGUAACCCCGCCAGCCCAGGACCUCCAUAUCCGGCUUCAUCACCUGCGGGAUCGUCUGAGUGUAAGGGAUUUCCUCCUCUUCUUCUGAGGAGGAGAGGCGAAAAGGAUCAGAGGACCAAUAUGCGGCGUGUACUCUUUGGAGAGUCACCUGCCUGGAGCGAGAGGCACAGAUGCUUGGCUGACCACUGGCAGCACACAGGCAGGGGGCAGAGUAGCCUUCACACCCCUGUGGGGACAACCACAGAGCGGAGAGAUGGCGGGCGUGGGGGAUUUGUCUGGUAGACAAAGGUGAGUUGUCGACAAUGAACACAGAGAGAGCACAAAGUACUGUCUGUAACCUGUCAAUGUCUCUUUGGUCAGACAUCUGCUAUGACAGGAUGAGAGGAAAAUAAACUAUGACAGCAGUGUUGGCUUGUGUGAUAGGAUAAGAUUGGGCAGAGGUUUUUGUAAGUGUUUGUCGAUUAUGUUUGCAACAGAAAAGCACUGUGCAUUAAUGUAGUUGACGUAUGUUUCCUUCUGUUCCAUUAUGGUUAACCUGUCUACGAUACUGGUUCCCAAUUGGGAAUCAACCCUCCCACGUUCAGCUGAAACGGUGGCGCAUGGAACGCAAAAAUAUUCGCAAAAAUAUUUAACCUCCACACAUUAACAAGUCCAAUAGCUCAAAUGAAAGAUAAACAUCUUGUUCAUCUAUCCAGCAAGUCAGAUUUCUAAAAUGUUUUACGGCGAAAACAUAGCACAUAUAUAUGUAAAACCACCACCAGACACAGCUCAUUUCAAUAGCCAAAACAUGCAAUCAACAAACGCAGGAUUAAAAAAUAAAUCGCUCACUAACCUUUUGAAAAUCUUCAUCAGAUGACAGUAAUAUGACAUAUUACACAGUACAUUUUUUUUUUCAAUAAUAUGCCAUUUAUAUCCAUAAAUGUCCAUUUACAGUGAGUUCACCUUCAGAAAUUACUCAAAAAUGCCCGCAGGAAAUCUAUGUAGCGCGGCAAGAUAACGUAAAUAGACAUCAUAAACUUUGACUAAAUAUACAUGUUCUACAUAUAGUUAGAAAGAUACACUGCUUCUUUAUGCAACCGCUGUGUUAGAUUUAUUUUUAACGUUACAGAAAUCGCACACUAUUCCAUAUGCUGAGACAGCGCUCAGUUCCAAGCUACAUUUCCACGUAAUGUUGGAGUCAACAGAAACACAGAUUUAAGCAUAAAUAUUCCCUUACCUUCGAUGGUCUUCGUUCAGAAUGUUCUGGAAGGCUUCAUACUUACCCAAUACAUCGUUUGGUUUCAAGUCUUGCGUCUUUGUAUUAGCUACUGCUAAUAACAUCAGCUGAAAUGCACCCAAAACGUCCUCUG
rnacentral:lncRNA from 13 species